rnacentral:rRNA from 1 species
ACGCUCGACACCUACGAGAGGCAGCAGUGGGGAAUAUUGCACAAUGGGGGAAACCCUGAUGCAGCGACGCCGCGUGAAGGAAGAAGUAUCUCGGUAUGUAAACUUCUAUCAGCAGGGAAGAAAGUGACGGUACCUGACUAAGAAGCCCCGGCUAACUACGUCCCACGCAGCCGCCGGUAAGUACUGAGCGGGCGUGGCGAAGGACG